rnacentral:rRNA from 1 species
GAUGAACGCUGGCGGCGUGCCUAAUACAUGCAAGUCGAGCGAACAGACGAGGAGCUUGCUCCUCUGACGUUAGCGGCGGACGGGUGAGUAACACGUGGAUAACCUACCUAUAAGACUGUGAUAACUUCGGGAAACCGGAGCUAAUACCGGAUAAUAUAUUGAACCGCAUGGUUCAAUAGUGAAAGACGGUUUUGCUGUCACUUAUAGAUUGAUCCGCGCCGCAUUAGCUAGUUGGUAAGGUAACGGCUUACCAAGGCGACGAUGCGUAGCCGACCUGAGAGGGUGAUCGGCCACACUGGAACUGAGACACGGUCCAGACUCCUACGGGAGGCAGCAGUAGGGAAUCUUCCGCAAUGGGCGAAAGCCUGACGGAGCAACGCCGCGUGAGUGAUGAAGGUCUUCGGAUCGUAAAACUCUGUUAUUAGGGAAGAACAAAUGUGUAAGUAACUAUGCACGUCUUGACGGUACCUAAUCAGAAAGCCACGGCUAACUACGU